rnacentral:piRNA from 1 species
UGUCAUAAGAGCCAGGUUAGGUUCCUAGCA